GCUACUCAACGGCCAGCGGCGCCGGUAAGUGUGAUGGGGCAAUGGGUAAGCGUAAUGACUGUGCGGAAAGCUGGCGCAGUGCGGGAGUCAAGCACGAUGUGAAAUCCCCGUGCUUAACCUGGGAACGGCAUUGGUGACUGCAUCGCUUGGGUAUGGCAGAGGGGGGUAGAAUUCCACGUGUAGCAGUGAAAUGCGUAGAGAUGUGGAGGAAUACCGAUGGCGAAGGCAGCCCCCUGGGCCAAUACUGACGCUCAUGCACGAAAGCGUGGGGAGCAAACAGGAUUAGAUACCCCGGUAGUC
rnacentral:rRNA from 1 species